AUUUGCAUUAUGUAAACACUUCUUAUACACUAUAUGUGCAUAUUUGAUCAUUACAUUUUAAAGAAAUGCUGAGAAAUUAGAUAGCAUCUAGAGAAAAUGACAGUGACAUAAUGAUUAAAGGGCUGAAAAGUAAGUCUUACAAAAAAGGUUAAAAUAAUUGGCAUUUAGCCUGGAAAGGAGCAAAAUGAUUACUACCCUCAAAUUGUAUGUUAAGUCCUUUUUUUCUCUUGAUGUGAUACUGAGGUAGACUGAAAAAACAAAAAACAACCGAAUAACCUUUCAGAGGACUAUUACCUAUUCAAUACAAAUGUGUAGUUUUUGAAAGCUGCUAUGAACCAGGCCCUAGACCAGGUAAAUAAAUCGUAGUUCUUUCCUUUACGAAUUUCACAGACUUGAUACAGGGUGAGGAUGGUUGUAUUCCUUAGAAUAAAGGCUAAGUUGCUUUUACAACUUAGUACUAUAAAACUGGAUUUUUUUUUUUUUUUCAGUUAAUAGUCCAGUCAGUCAGAGCUGGUGAAGUAGACUUGCUGUAGAAGGUGUGAAGGCCCAGUCCUCCCUCCACGUUUCUCCACCCUUGAAAGGUCGUGUGCAUGUCUGUUCACCCAUGAAAGAAGAGGAAGACACCAAAUGGAUGGCAUUGAUUUCAUUUUAAUCCCUAGAGUUGAACAGACACAUUUCAAGCCUUAUCCAAGUUUAGGACUUUUGGAAAGCAUUGCAGUUGCGAAUAAGAGAAUGUGCUUGGAAUCUUACUCUUGUGCAUUGAAGAAGGAUAAGAAACAGGAAGAAGUAGAAGAAUAAGACCUAUCAGCUACUGAGAGGAAUGUUUUAAAAUCCAUGUCCACGUGCAGAAACUUUCUUCAUUUUGAAUUAGUGUUGUCAGCUGCUUCUUGUAAUUCUCUUACUUUUGUCAUUUAAAAUCUAUAUUAAGUGCAAACUAUUUAGAAUUAUGUAAUCCUUAUGAUUUAAAAUUUUAAAUUAGCUGUGUUUCAAUUUAUCUUCAGUAAUUUUUUUAAAGUCUAUUAUGUUUGAUAGUAGACUAUAUAUAGCUAUAUCUGAUUGUUACAACCCUUAAUUUUUAAUAUUUCUGAUUAUUUAUGUUUAAAAAGUGUCUCUUAUAAAUUCAAUAUAGUAAAUCUUUUUAAUCCAAUGUGAAAAUACCUGUUUUAACUGAUAAUUUUACUUAAUAUUUACUGUUUAUCAAUAUACUUGCAUUUAGUAUUAUUAGACCUAGCUUUCAAUAUAUAUGUUGCUUUUUCUUUUUAAUAUUAGAGUACCUCAUUUGAAAUGCUUGAGAUAUUUAUAUAUGUGUUGCUCUACUGGUUUGUAAGUUAUACCUUGAUUUUUAAUCAAUGGCCAUAAACAUUUAACAUGCAUAUUUAGCUAUGUCUAAAGUAAAUUAAUAUUUCUAAGCUUCUUCUGAACAAUUUAGUAAUUUUUUUACACCCAACAACUUUUUCAGUUUACAUAUUAUUGUUUCCCAGUCUUUUAAUUGUAGCAGAACAAUUUUGGUUUUAGCCCCCAAAUUAUUAUUACCAUUGCAUUAUACAUUUAUUGCUUGUUUAGAUGCAUCCACAUAUUUAUGAUUUUCUUAGGUCAUCAAUCUAGGUUGUCUUCUGGAUUUUAUUAUUUUUUCUGUCGACAGUCUACUUAAAUUUAUUUGUUUCUGUGAUGGGCCUAGAGAUUGACAGAGCACACUAAUUAUUGGGUUUCUAAGUCAUCUUAUACUUGAGAAGCUUCAGCUCAGUGCACAAGCCUCUGUCUAUUACAGACAAAUCACUGCCAUGCCAUCCUCUGAAACUCUAAGAAUUUAAGAAACUCUAAGAAUUUAAAAGUGAUUUAACCCCAAAAGUAGUGGAUAAUUUUGAUACUAGCUCUUCCCUGCCUUCACCUCCACCUCCACCUCUUGCCUCCCAUUCAUGAUCCCCCCCAUUCCUUUAUUGACAAUGUCAGAUACAAAAGAAGUUCCUCUUCAAAGGUUUGGCUUGUUAAGCACCCUUGUUCUUUGUUCUCUACUUCCAAGGGCAGACAAACUUCCUUAUCCUUUGUGCCUGUCUUAGUUUCAGUAAACAACCUUCCCACUGGUCCUUAUCUACAGAGACCACAUCUGCUACCCACUCUAUAAAUUACUCCUACUGUCACAAUAGCUCUUCCCACC
rnacentral:lncRNA from 1 species